rnacentral:rRNA from 1 species
UACGUAGGGUGCGAGCGUUAAUCGGAAUUACUGGGCGUAAAGAGUGCGUAGGCGGUUCUUUGUGUCCGCUGUGAAAGCCCCGGGCUUAACCUGGGAAUGGCAGUGGAAACUAGAGAACUUGAAUCUGGCAGAGGGGGGUGGAAUGUCACGUGUAGCAGUGAAAUGCGUAGAGAUGUGGAGGAACACCGAUGGCGAAGGCAGCCCCCUGGGCUAACACUGACGCUCAUGCACGAAAGCGUGGGGAGCAAACAGG